GGGCCUCUAGCUCAAUUGGCAGAGCAACGGACUUUUAAUCCGUGGGUUCAGGGUUCGAGCCCCUGGGGGCCUA
rfam:Nocardiopsis flavescens strain CGMCC 4.5723 genome assembly, contig: Ga0104439_112